UCGGUAGAGCAAAGGACUGAAAAUCCUUGUGUCGGGAGUUCAAUUCUCCCUGGAGCCA
rnacentral:tRNA from 1 species